AGGAUUUUGCGUGGAUCGGGUGGUGUGGAUGCAUGAUUAGAUGGCGGCUAGUGACUUGCGAUCAUCAUUUGACGGGCCAAGAGAUUUCUAGGUGAUGUGAGAAGUCCUGAAUCAAUUUCUACUCCGAUCAGGGCUCGAAUUCGGGCCUUUAAAGGCCCUAAUGGAUUCUAUGGUAGUAGGGUGUGUUUGGCAGAAACCUAAGAGACGAUAGCAACUGAGAGAGGGAGUUCAGCAGUAGUAUCUUGAGGAGCACCGGCAGAGAGCAGACAUACAGGGAUAUCUCAGGCAGACUGUCAGACAGCGAUCAUUUCAGAGAUUUAGAGGAUCUCCUAGAGAGAGAGCUUUUGUGAGGGAGAGUUUCUUGUUAAGAGAUA
rnacentral:lncRNA from 1 species